AGAGAUGGAUUGGUGCCUUCGGGAACUGUGAGACAGGUGCUGCAUGGCUGUCGUCAGCUCGUGUUGUGAAAUGUUGGGUUAAGUCCCGCAACGAGCGCAACCCUUAUCCUUUGUUGCCAGCGGUUAGGCCGGGAACUCAAAGGAAACUGCCAGUGAUAAACUGGAAGAAGGUGGGGAUGACGUCAAGUCAUCAUGGCCCUUACGACCAGGGCUACACACGUGCUACAAUGGCAUAUACAAAGAGAAGCGACCUCGCGAGAGCAAGCGGACCUCAUAAAGUAUGUCGUAGUCCGGAUUGGAGUCUGCAACUCGACUCCAUGAAGUCGGAAUCGCUAGUAAUCGUAGAUCAGAAUGCUACGGUGAAUACGUUCCCGGGUCUUGUACACACCG
rnacentral:rRNA from 1 species